AUUGAACGCUGGCGGCAUGCCUUACACAUGCAAGUCGAACGGCAGCACGGGAGCAAUCCUGGUGGCGAGUGGCGAACGGGUGAGUAAUAUAUCGGAACGUGCCCAGUCGUGGGGGAUAACUACUCGAAAGAGUGGCUAAUACCGCAUACGAUCUACGGAUGAAAGCGGGGGACCUUCGGGCCUCGCGCGAUUGGAGCGGCCGAUAUCAGAUUAGGUAGUUGGUAGGGUAAAAGCCUACCAAGCCUGCGAUCUGUAGCUGGUCUGAGAGGACGACCAGCCACACUGGAACUGAGACACGGUCCAGACUCCUACGGGAGGCAGCAGUGGGGAAUUUUGGACAAUGGACGCAAGUCUGAUCCAGCCAUUCCGCGUGCAGGAUGAAGGCCCUCGGGUUGUAAACUGCUUUUGUACGGAACGAAAAGGUUUGUCUUAAUACGAUGAGCUCAUGACGGUACCGUAAGAAUAAGCACCGGCUAACUACGUGCCAGCA
rnacentral:rRNA from 1 species